rnacentral:lncRNA from 1 species
AAGAUGCAGCUGAAUCAAGGGCUCAGAAUUAGCUAAUCUCCAAAAGUGGGAGUCUCUGCAGGGGAGCAAUUUUCAGGGCAGAAAUAUCUGGGCUGAUGGUGGGUUUAGAGGAAAGCUAGAGUAUAUUUUCUCCCCAAAGUACCAGCGUUCACACUUGGACCAAGAAAGAUAGUUUUGCCAUCUCACUGAGCAUCAGAGAGGCUUCGGUGGUGCUUUUCCAAUUUCUCAUCCAUCUGUGCAUUGGUGUAUAUGUAUGUGUAUAUCUCUCCACACCUUACACAAAUACAUGGCUUCUUUCUAUCUAUGCUAGUGACUGCACCUUCCAUGAAGGUACAUUGCUUGUUAAAUAAUUUUGCUCCAUUACUCUUUACUCCUAAUUCUCACUAACAUUUGCUAAAGUCGGCUAAGAAUAUGUACACCAUUGCCUCUAAGUAAACUAGUCUCUCACAUUUAGCCUUCACCCCAUACAAAAUAUCAAGGCAAGAUCAAAUGCAUUCAAAUAUUUUUUGUCAUAGAAAAAUAAUAAUAGCAGCUUUUAGUGACUGAAGUUACUGUACAAAAUGCUAAACACAAUCAACAUGUAAGGAAUAAAAUAACAAUUUUGGUUGACUGUUUUAAGCCUUUUCUCUGAUUGGUUGGCCUCUCUGCUUUUGUACCUGUGACAAAUAAUCAAGCCAUGGCAAAGAAUGCAGAAAAGUCACUAAGGGAUGUAGUGUCAAAGUUAAGAAAGUGAAUGUUUGGAAAUCCUGAAGUUGACUUAAAGGGCACAUUCUUAGUAAUUUAAGCCUAUCACAGGUAUUUCUUUUAAAAUAUAUUUAUUAUUAUUAUUAUUAUUAUUAUUAUUAUUUUACUUAUUCACUUUACAUUUUUCUCACUGCCCCCUCCUGGUCACACCUUCCUACAAUCCUUCCCCAUCCUUCCUCCUCUUCUCCUCUGACCAGGUUGGGGGUACCCUGGGUAUUCUCCACCCCCUGCCCCAUCACUUCAAGUCUCUGUGAUGCUAGGUGCUUCCUCUCCCACUGAGGCCAGACUAGGCAGGCCAGCUAGAAGAACAUAUCCCAUGUAAAAACAAUAGCUUUUGGGAUAAGCCCUGCUCCAGUUGUUAGGAAGCCACAUGAAGGCCUGUCUGCUCUACUUAAUGAGUUCCAGGACAACCAGAGCUGCAUAGUAAGACCUUGUCAAAAACAACAUCAACAACAGCAGCAGCUACAACAACAACCACAAGGAAAAAACAAAGAAUUGUCAAGACUGAGGCUAUGAAAUAAAAUAUCUAAGUAACAGGACUAUGCUCUACUGUUAUAUUUAUGUAUUUUUGAUAAAAAAUGUUUUCAAUGGAUUAAUUCAUUGAAUUUCUUGUCUAUAACAAAAAAAGAGCCUACUAAAAUAUUUUUCUUAAUUUUAUUUUUCCUCCCAAAUAAGUAUUAGGCUAUUUACCCAAAGAAUUUCUUUCUGAAAAUGGUGAAUUAAAAUUAGACCAGUCUACUAGACAGAAAAUAAAUCUUAAUUGCAUUAUUAACACACACAGACAAGCAUGUCAAUUAAAGUAUUCCAUAUAGUUUACAUGUCUUACCAGGUUGCUUUUGGGAUGAAUGACCUUAAGAAAAUAAGUUUUCUAGAAAAUAAGUUUUCUGAGUACUCCUAAAAAUACCAAAUACCAAAUCCAUAUUGAUGAUAUUAUGCUUUCUCCUUAUCAUAGAGUAUGAAAGCCAUUGAAUGUACUUAGAGUAUAUCUUGAACCUAGAUCCCCUGUUAUCUCUUUUGUCUUUAAUUAAAAAUAGAACUCUUUCAUUAUUUUCUUUAUUAUUUCUUUAUUAUUUUCUUUACUAUUUAUUUAUAUUAUUUAUUAUUUCUUUAUUAUUCUUCUUUCUUAUUUCAUUAUUUUCCUUCACAUUAUAUUCUGAUCAUGCCUCCCCACUGCUUAUCCAAUUUCUCCCCACCUCCCCUCUCAUCUGGAUACACAACUCUCUUUAGAAAGAAAAAAAAAUUAAAAUAAGAUACACCAAAGCAUACAAAUUAUAAUAAGACAAAACAAUCAAACAAAAAGC